UCCUCGUUCGUCUAGUGGCUAAGAUAUAUCGCUCUCAUUGCGGAGCGAACCGAUAAGACCCGGGUUCGAUUCCCGGACGGGGAA
rnacentral:tRNA from 1 species